UUUUUUGUUUACUAUGGUAAAUAAUUGCCUAAUAAAACAUAUAAUAAUGAUGAAGCAAAAAACAUAUGUAAUCCUCCACUGCCUGGGUUAUAAAAUGAUGUUGUUAUCAUUCAGUAAUUGGUGAGUAGCACAAUGAUAAAAAAAAUCAAAGAAAUAUUUCAUGAAAAAUAAUCUUGAAUCAUGUUGUUGUUUAACUGUGUUCACUUUAUCAUGUGUUUUAUCUUUGAAAUCUGAAAAGUCAAUAUGGAUAACUGAAUAUGUUCUAUUUUCUCAUGCCACAUGGGGCUCUAGAUGACUGCUGUGCAGUUCCAGUAAGUCUACCCUUUACACAAGAAAAGCAGCUCCUGAACUCAAUCACUGCCAUGCUCUUUUCAUUGUUUUCAAAGAGUUUUUUUUCCUUAUUGAAUAAAUGGCUUCACUGAAAAGGAUCUAAUAAUUCUAUAAUCCUUGAAGCAGUAUCCCAGCUGAAAAGGUGUAAUGGGAAAAUAAAAAUCUACGAUGCCUUUGCUUUGUUUAGUUCUUAAUUUUUUUUAGGGAGGGUAAGAGUUGUAAUGGAGGAAACAUAAUUUAUGUGUGUCUUUUUGAAUUCAUGAACAACACUUUAUUUACUCGGCGUAGGUAGAAGAAUUUACCUGCAGUGUGAGUGAUGCAAUGUUGAACAUACAAUCUGAGAGUCUAAAUGUGCACAUGGUGAAGAGUUUUGUGAUUCGGCAAUAACCAACUACCCUACAUAGUGGUAGUAAGCUUAAAUGGCAUGUGAAUUGCCAAGAAUUCAGAGAAUAGCGACUGUUCAUUUUACCAUGCUAAUCAAUCAAGUGCUAUGCAAUGUCUACAUUUUACUGAUCUAUGUGCUUCUCGAGAUUCCUCAUAGCCAUUACCACCAACUACAGCUGCCUGUAUGCAUCCCUUGUCAACAAAAGCAGGCAAAUGGAUUCAAAAAGCUUAUGUUGCUGUGUCAUGCCACUCAAACAUCAUGUGUUUUCUUUUCCAAUUUAUCAGUUUUAAUGGUUUGGAGCUUAUUGCAUACCAAUCCACAAAAAACUAAUUUGCAUUCCAGAUCAGUGUCUUUAUGGCCUAAAUUAUGUGCGUUGCAAAUAUGAGGUGAACGUAAUAUAUUUAUGCAUCGACUGUGAAACAAUGCAUGACUUAGGAUAAAAAAUAGACUGAUGAGAAUGAUGUUGCAAAUUUGGUUGGACUUUUGGCAAGUCACAUGAUCAUAUCAGUACAUUUUAGAGAAGGUUCCUUGAAGCUUUGGUAUGGCCUUACCUAUCUUACUGCCACGGAUAUCAGUAGUACAUGCUUACCUAUGCUUCCACUCUGUAAAUUCAUUUAAAUAAAAUCAAAUGAAUUCAUUACAAACAUUGGCUAUUUAGACUAGUGGUGGUGACAUGAUUAGUUCACCCACCCAUUGUGAUAAGCUAUAAAACAUAAUGCAAGGCACAAGUCUAUUGAGAAAGAUAUCAUACAUAAAUCCUUUUUUUAUGACAUCAAUAAUGCAAUGGGGAAUUGUAUUUGCUGAAUAUAACUGCUAAUGUCAAUACAAUGCUGAUUGCUUCUGAAAUUAGACCUCUAGGUUUUAUAUUUGGUAGUUAAUUGUCUGGAACAAAUUGACAUGAAUCCAAACAAAUUCACCUCUUGUCAUCUAUGGCAGGGCUGCACUUAGCUUAUGUGAUUAUUUAUUGAGGAAUCCAAAUCAAAUGAACAACAUUUAAAUAUAAUGCUAGUAACAGAACAUUGCUUUCAAGUUUUGCAAUGUACCAGUGGAAAAGGAAGGCAGUGCAAUGUCCCUUAGAUCAUGUUUGGGUACAGCCAGUGAACAUUCAACCUCAUGCACAUAGUGAGCUUACUUAGAUGCCAAGUCAAUCGUGCUUCUAAACUUAUUUGCUAAAUUAGAAAUUCUGGAUAUUUGACAAAUUCUAGGCCAAAAGAGCAAGGUCUUCUACUGAUAUCCAUGGCAAUUAUUCCUUAGUUGUCCCUUUUCUCUUGGAUGGCACCUGUUUUAUCUAAAUACAUAUACCUCAAUAAUCAUAUGAACAAUUUUUGUAACAGUAUGCUAAAUUUGGAACAUAGGGAUAGACAAUGUAUCCCAUUAGACCAACUUGCUAAGUACAUCUCUAUCAUAAUGAUAUCUCUGUAAUUCCAGACUGGAUCUUUACAUUACAUUGCAUUUUAUUACUCUGCAAGACAGAACAAUAUUUAAUUUACUAAAUGAUGCUUUAACUGCAAAGGUGUUACUAGGCUCCAAAACACCUGGGUAUUGAGCCCAAAGCAAACCUCAAAAAACUAUAACAAAUCAAAAAAAAGUACAGUUGGAAACAAGCACAUGCUGCACACAACCAGGUAUUUGAUGCAAUCUCAGCACACAUGGUGUGCAGCAAAAUUCUCUUACCAAGCACCCUCUCCCAAUAGUUACCCCGCAGAGCACUAUGUUAGUGAUCUUUCAUUUUACAGUAUAUCUGGUGGCUCCAUUGAAUGAAAUAAAAAAUGAAGUAAACAGUAAUAUACUCUUGCCUUUCCACUACUUAUAGAGAUCUGGAGGUUAAAGUAUCCACAUGUGGAACGUAAGUCCCCCAAAGCCCCAACUCCAGAGAUAUCUAUGGGUUGACUGUACAUAAUUAAAUAAGUAUAUGUCAAACUGAAACUAUUUGCUAUCUCUAUGAUCUAAACACUACUUACAUGUUUGCCAUUUACUAUUCUGUUGCUGGGAAACUGAUGUGCGCUCAGUAUUCAAUUCCUAUUCUUUAAUUCUUUAUUAAACCAUUUGACAGUCAGAAUGCACGUGUUGAUCAUAUUGUUUGAUUGAAACAUUGACAUUAUACAUUUAAAACUAUUCACAAAUUAAUAAAAUAUUGACUAUAAACAUGUUGUGCAAUUACCACUUCAAGUCCUACUCUUAGACAAGACUAUAUUGAGCUGCACUGUGCAAUGGAGAGUUUAUUUUUAUCUGGCAUUCUCAGGGGGGUAAUUAUUAGUUUCAUCAUUUGUGUCUAAAACAAAUUUUGAUAAUAUCUUUUUUUUUCCCUCCAUCUAUAAAGAACUUCUGGAAUCCUCCUGGGCUUUGUGCUUUUGAAAUUACAAUUAAUAAUGACAGUGGCCAGUACAAAAGACACUGUUUACCGCUACACAUUUUUUUUUUUAAAUCAGCCAAUAAACAUAGAAAAGCUUUCUGGUUUUCCAGAAUUAAAUUUAAAUUUAGUUUGUUCCCUUGGAUUUGCAUCACUUCUGGAGAAGUUGUAGGCUGUAGCUACUGUCAAACUGGCAUAUUGCCUAGAUUUGCAGCUGUGAGAGUUUUCAAAAUGGUCACAGACAGACUGCCGGGGUCAUACAGAGCAAUUGCCUAUCCCGCUCACCAGCUACCCUUUCUCCCUCUGCAUUCAUAUAUUGAAGACGAAGGUAAAACGACAAACAGAGACGGGAAGAAAUAUGAUGUUUUUUUGCUGAGAUUUACUAUUUCUGGAGAGGUACACUAUAAUAUGCAUUACAAUCAGACACCCUGUAAACCUCCCUCCCAUCCUGAAUAAAGGUUAACUGGGAUGUCAGUGUCGCCUGACAGUGCAGAAAUUACUUUGAGAAAAAGCUCUGCUGAGGUCUUAAUACUACAGUCAAUUCCACCCAGCCAGCAGGAAAUGGCUUUUUUUUUCUUCUGCUUUUGUGUAGGGGAUGAAUUGGUGCCAAUGUCUUUACUAUUUCAAGUCCCAAACUGUUUGUGGUCUUUGGGAUUCAGCUAACAUUAAUACUAUCACUGUUUUAGUAAGAAGAUUUGUCACUUCUGAACAGCUGUGAGCUAAACAAAAGUGAAGUCUUGAUUUUCUGGAGCUGAGCUAGCAAAUUGUAUUACAUUUUUGUCAUUCAAUGCAGGACAGAUUAAAUUUUUCUGAGUUGAGCUUCAUCUGUGCUCUCACACAUAUUUGAUUCUGAAGAUGCCCCAUCGAAGAUACAUUUCACACUUGUACUUACAAAAUGAUGUAAUGAGCUUAGUUUUCAAACAAAGGCAGACACCAUGCUCCAUAACAGCUAACUGCACUCACCCUGGUUAGUUAGUAAUAUUUAUCAGAGUGUUUAGCACUUAAAGCUAUCAUAAUAUGUAUUAUGGCUUGCAGUAUUUUCAUACCUAUGACAUAACAAGAGAUACCACAUGCAAAACUAUAUUGUGUGACAGUAUACAUUAUUAUGUCAAGUUUAAACAACAAUAGCCAACUGCAUAAAACAUAAUUAGCAAAUGCAAAAAAUAAAAAUAAAAAAACUUACGUAAAAUGUAUUAAUGCACAAAUAUAUCAUGUCUACAAAAUAUAACCCAUGGUCUUUAUAGUAUUCUGUAUUGUUUACUAAGACAAUUAUGUAUAUGGGUGCCAUACACUGGUAUCAAAGUGUCCCCAUGUUGAGUACCACCACUAAGCCAGAAUUAAUUAACAGAAAAAAUACUUAGUAACAAAAAAUUGCUUAGAAGACAGUCAGCAAUGAAUAAUUUUAAAUUAAAUAUUAAUGAACAGGGAGCAGACACUUUGCUUCACCAGCUGCAGUGCAAUGAACUUAUCGUAACAUUAUUACCGCAACAUUAUAUCCUACUGUGAACAGGUCUGUCGUAUUAGAAAAGCCUAAGCUAGAUUUUGUCUGUUUCUGUACUAGAGUCCAUGCUAAAUUUAUAUAAUACUUAUAUGUUAUGUGCCUGAAUGGAAAUUAAUUAUAAAGUGAGCUAAAAGAGUUACAGAGGAGAAGAGCUGCUCCUUUUUGGGAUCGUCACUCGGGGUCAGUUGUCUCUCUCUUUCCUCAUUUACUAUAAGCUUUUAUGGUAUUACCAUCCAUUUCUCUCUAUCAGUGCUCAAUUUUGCAAAGAAAGGAUAACAGCGACCUUUUCUGACCUCUUCUUAAUAGCUUUGCUAUUGUUGUCCAACAGAAUCAUGAGCUUAUCACAGCCUAUACACAAUACAUAUGUUGAAGGUGUCGGUUCCAAUUUUUUUAUCACCAUAACCUUUUGUGUCAUGAUUUUUUUUCCAUUUUCUUGACUACGCUUCACAUCUAGCAUGCCAAAUAUCUUGCACAAAGGUUGUCUCAUGCGAAUGAUGUAAUGAAUGAAAUAAAACAAGAAAUUCCUUGAUUUUCGCGUUUUUUUUUGUGUUCACCCUCAGCAUCAUUUGUUUUGAAACUAAUGGUGACAUUGAGCAGCAAUGAAAGUAAUAAGAAA